ensembl:lncRNA
CCGUAAGUGGACGAAACACAUGCCGCAUGUGACCAGAGUCUUUUCGUCCGCUUUCGUGGUUUGACUUGGCCUCUUGUGCUCCAGUUCUGGCCUUGAGGAAGGCAUGUCCCAGAAAGCCGUAGGCCCUGCAGGAAUAAAAGACCCACAAAGUGAAUGGAAACCCAGCCAUGGCCAGAACAGCGCUGAACCUGGCUCCCCUGCUGAUGCAUCAAACUGCUUUAAAGUAAGAAAUGUUCAUGGUGUGUGAUGAGCAUGGGGCAGGACAGAUAUGAUGGUGGAGGAUGGAUGCAGAGCUGAAAUCCAAGAAGGCAAGAACACAAUUCAAUGGCUUUGAAGAUUUUUUGCCUUCUGGUUUUGCCUCAGGAGAAAGAAGAACUUAAUAUGACUGGAAAAAUUAAGAUUUCAGUUAUACACGAUAGAGAUAAACUAAAGAAUCCCAUAGAGUUCAAAUUAUUGUCUGUGCUCCCAGAUGGCAUUUUAUAUCUGUGGUUGAGGGAAGGAGAAAUAUCAACCUUGCUAAUAAGUAAGAUAACCAGUUUGAGUGUAAUUUCCUGAAAUAUGUUAAUGGAUGGUUUGGUUUUCUAAAGUAGUCAGGGGACCUG